rnacentral:rRNA from 1 species
GAUGAACGCUGGCGGCGUGCUUAACACAUGCAAGUCGAACGAUGAAGCCCAGCUUGCUGGGUGGAUUCGUGGCGCACGGGUGAGUAUCACGCGAGUAACCUGCCCUUUACUCUGGGAUAAGCCUGGGAAACUCGGUCUAAUAUCGGAUAGGAGAGCCUCCCGCGUGGUGGGUGUUGGAGAGAUUUGUCGGUUUUGGAUGGACUCGCGGCGUAUCAGCUUGUUGGUGGGGUAUUGGCUCACCAAGGCGCCGACGGGUAGCCGGCCUGAGAGGGUGACCGGCCACACUGGGACUGAGACACGGCCCAGACUCCUACGGGAGGCAGCAGUGGGGAAUAUUGCACAAUGGGCGGAAGCCUGAUGCAGCGACGCCGCGUGAGGGAUGACGGCCUUCGGGUUGUAAACCGCUUUCAGUAGUGAAGAAGCGAGAGUGACGGUACCUGCUGAAGAAGCACCGGCUAACUACGUG